AUGCUGUCGACGCCCCCGGUGUCCGAAGGCUCGACCGAGCGUGGAAAGAAUGUGUUUCCAUGUAGUCCAGCAGCAGCAAUAUACCGAGGAAAAAAAGCUGGCAGAGAGCGCCCCACAGCAAUAGAGGGCACGGAGGGCCAGUAGAGCUGUCCGCUCUCUUCCUGCUAUUGUUUCAAGGACCCAGAUGAGACUAUGCAAGGUUACGCCUCCUGGACAUCAGCUUGCUAACCCUCCUGUUGGCACGCUCCCCCUACGGCUGCAGUGCGUUUCCAUGGAGAUUGAGAAUAUGCCUGCAGAUGACUGCAUCACCUGCUGAAAGGCAAAUUGCAGACAGAAAUAAAUAAUAAUCUAAUCUGAAAUUUAAAAUCUGCCCAUUAAAAACACAGGAGAAAAUAUCAGUGGUAACUCAAAAAAAGAAAUGUAGUUCCAAGAUGGUGUGUUUCAUUUAUGUGAUUUAUUUGAUAAUACUGAGGGUUUUUGUUUGUUUCUGUGUUUGUUUUUAGCCCUGAUAAUCACAUGGCUCUGGUAAUUGUAGUUUCUUUCCAUCUCCUCCUCCUUCUCCUCCUCUGUGUCCAAACUGAAAUAUCUCAGCAUACAAAUUGCAUAUAACUGCAUAUGGAUUUCCUAAAAAUGCAUAUAGGCAUCCAUGGUGCCCAGAGAAUGGAUCCUAAAUAUGUUACAUUUUCUCAUAUCCAUAACAUUAAAUAUGUUUCAGGCCAAUAUGUCAUGUAUGAACUAAGAUUAAAUUAGCAUUUGAUCCAUAGCAACACUUUGGUUUUUUGACUUUUCACUAUCAUUAAUUAAAAAUAUGACAUUUGUCAAAAAUCUUUGCUCAUAAAUUACACAAUCUCACCAGGUUCAGUGGUGCAACACAUCAGGGAGCAAGUGUUGUCAGCAUGGACUCAAAAAACAUUAUGGCCUAUUAUAUAUUUCAAUUUAAUUUAAUUUGUAUAGAGCCAAAUCACAACAACAGUCCCCUCAAGGUGUUUUGGACUGUAAGGUAAAGCCCCUACAAUAAUAUAGAGAAACCCCAACAAUAAGACAACCCCUAUGAGCAAACACUUGGCCAUAGGGGGAAGGAAAAACUCUCUUUUAACAGGAAGAAACCUCUGGCAGAAGCAGGCUUAGGAAGGGGCAGCCAUGCACAUUUAUGGGUUACACCAGGGAGUCAAGCACUUUUGAUUUAGAUGUUUUUCUUUUCCAUUUGAGAUGCAAACAAAUUUUCCUUCCAUUUGGAAAGUGAGCUGUAAAAGUCACAGAUAAAACUGUAAAACAAACCCUUUGACUUUACUGUUUCACUGACAAUUGGUAAACAUAUAUGCAUUAUUAAUACAUUAAAAAAUCAUAC
rnacentral:lncRNA from 1 species